rnacentral:rRNA from 1 species
CGGGUGAGUAACGCGUGGGAACGUACCAUUUGCUACGGAAUAACUCAGGGAAACUUGUGCUAAUACCGUAUGUGCCCUUCGGGGGAAAGAUUUAUCGGCAAAUGAUCGGCCCGCGUUGGAUUAGCUAGUUGGUGGGGUAAAGGCUCACCAAGGCGACGAUCCAUAGCUGGUCUGAGAGGAUGAUCAGCCACACUGGGACUGAGACACGGCCCAGACUCCUACGGGAGGCAGCAGUGGGGAAUAUUGGACAAUGGGCGCAAGCCUGAUCCAGCCAUGCCGCGUGAGUGAUGAAGGCCCUAGGGUUGUAAAGCUCUUUCACCGGUGAAGAUAAUGACGGUAACCGGAGAAGAAGCCCCGGCUAACUUCGUGCCAGCAGCCGCGGUAAUACGAAGGGGGGCUAGCGUUGUUUCGGAU